GAGAUCCCCCAUAACUCUGUCUUCUACAAUGAUAACUCACGUCUCAAAUAGUGGUUGCUCCGUUAGCUUAAGUCUCACAGUGAGGGUGACGUGGAGGCGGAACUGCAGCUUAUCAUCUAUAUACAUGAUGUAUGAGUGAAAAAUUAAAAUUUGUUGCUUUAGUCACUGAAAUGUGGGAGUUGUUUGUUACUACAGCAUGGCCUAUUCUGACUGAUACUAUAAGACUGUGUUAGAGGAAGCUUUUUUGGUAGAAAUGAAGGGUUUUGUUCUGAAUAAUUUAAGUCAAAAUUAUUGAAAUAUGGUGGCUUCAUCAAGUUAUAAUCUUCAGUAAAACUGGCACUAAUUGUAAAUGUAAUGAGAUUCAUUCAUUUUUCAUUUUAAAUGCUUGAACUAAACCUGGUUACUAGGAAGAAUCUGAAGUUGCUUGUCCAUAUAAAUGUAAGGGAAAAGAUAUAAACUUACAGCCUGUAGAUGUGAAAGUGGAUACAUUCCAAUAGAAAGUUUCUAUAUUUCUCUUCCAACACCCUACUUCUUAUCUAUUUGGAAGUCUGGAGAGUAAAGGAAGAAAGAGAAUUGAAGAGUUUGUGGUUAAGAACAAUCUUUACUCCCACCUUCUUGCUUGGGUGAUUCUUGGAUAAAGAGAAGAAAAAGAGGAUCCUUUUGGGAGUUUGGGGGAAAUGAAGAACGAGGAGGAGCAAGGGGAGUAGGACAAGGAGGAGGAAAUGAAAAACAAAGACAAAACUCAUGGAUUUUGAGCUCUAUAGACCUGUAUCUUUUGCUGAGUUAUCUAUUUAUUAGCUGUGUGAUGCUGGGUAGGUUACUUAACCUCUCUUUUGAUUUUUUUUUAAUUCAUAAAACAAAGGUUGUUAUGAGUAAAAUGUAGAAUAAUAUGCCUGGCAUAGAGUAAGUGCUCAAAUAAGCUUCAUCAUUCUUCCUUGCAUCACAUCACUUUGAUAAUUACACACUGAUGAAAUUCAACACACAUUAAAAGGCCAAAAUAUGAU
rnacentral:lncRNA from 10 species